rnacentral:rRNA from 1 species
UACAGAGGUCUCAAGCGUUGUUCGGAUUCAUUGGGCGUAAAGGGUGCGUAGGCGGCGCGGUAAGUCGGGUGUGAAAUCUUGGAGCUUAACUCCGAAACUGCAUUCGAUACUGCCGUGCUCGAGGACUGGAGAGGAGACUGGAAUUUACGGUGUAGCGGUGAAAUGCGUAGAUAUCGUAAGGAAGACCAGUGGCGAAGGCGGGUCUCUGGACAGUUCCUGACGCUGAGGCACGAAGGUCAGGGGAGCAAACGGG